UUCCCGCCCCGCCGCUCCCCUUUUCCCGCGUGUGCGGUGCCCGGACGCGGUUUCCGUUCCCCGCUCCGCCGCGCGCGAGCUCCGCCGGUUUGCAUGCUGGGCGCGCGGCGCGCGGCGGGGCGCGGAGCGGCGGCGCGGAGCCAUGUCGGUGGCGCUGCGGGGCUGCGGCGGGGCCCCGCGGGGCCGGGCCGGCGAGAAGCAGUGCUGUGAGUAUCCCCGGUGCUGCGGUGCUGAAGGGAGGGGGGCGCGCUCCGUGCCCGCAGAGAAGCGGAGCCAGUAACGGGAGGGGGACGGGGCUGCGCGCGUUGCCCCCGAAGCUGGCGGGUCCCCGUCCUGCUGCCUGUCCCCUCCCGCCGUUCCCCUGUCCCCAGCCCCCGGCUGCUGCAUCCAUCCCCCUCCCGUGCUUUUCGCCCCAAAUCCGCCCCUCCGCCGGCGUUUCGGGAGCUUGCUCGGGCUGUUCGCUCGGAGAACGUGACCGUUUUGUUAAAAACAUCUUUCGUUCGCCCUUGACGGCGCUGCCCGGGCGGUGAGUGCUGUUAACACUGCAAGCCCCAUUAGGCAGCGGUGCUGCCGGUCCGCCUCAUUAGCAAACACCUGGAGAGCACGGAGUGAUCACAGCCGCUCAUUAACGACAGGGACACACGGCGAGCCCGUCCUGGGAUGCACGGAGGUGCUUUAUCCCCGGGAGAUGGGGUGACGCUGUGCUGGGUCUCACUUUAUGCUCUGCAGCACCCCUGAUGCUGUUUUGGGGUGGUUUUGGGUUGUUUUUUGUUGGUUGUUUUCUGCAGCAUGGGCUUCUUACAUGACCAACUCCCCGACGCUGAUCGUGAUGAUUGGGCUGCCUGCGAGGGGCAAGACCUACAUGUCCAAAAAGCUCACCCGCUACCUCAACUGGAUCGGGGUGCCCACCAAAGUGUUUAAUUUAGGGGUGUAUCGGCGCGAGGCGGUGAAGUCCUACAAGUCCUACGACUUCUUCAGGCACGACAACAAGGAGGCCAUGGAAAUCCGCAAACGCUGUGCCCUGGUGGCUCUGGAAGAUGUGAAGUCUUAUCUCUUGGAGGAGUGCGGGCAAAUAGCUGUGUUUGAUGCGACCAACACGACUCGGGAGCGCCGGGACCUGAUCUUAAAUUUUGCUAAGGAAAAUGCUUUCAAGGUGUUUUUCGUGGAGUCUGUCUGUGAUGAUCCAGAGGUCAUCGCUGCCAAUAUCCUGGAGGUGAAAGUUUCCAGCCCUGACUACCCAGAGAGGCACAGGGAGAAUGUCAUGGACGAUUUCCUGAAGAGGAUUGAGUGCUACAAGGUCACCUACCAGCCUCUGGACCCGGAUGCUUAUGACAAAGACCUUUCCUUCAUUAAAGUGAUCAAUGUGGGCCAGCGGUUCCUGGUCAACCGAGUGCAGGACUACAUCCAGAGUAAAAUUGUCUAUUACCUGAUGAACAUCCACGUCCAGCCACGCACCAUCUACCUCUGCCGGCACGGGGAGAGCGAGUACAACCUCGUGGGCAGGAUUGGUGGGGACUCUGGGCUCUCAGCCAGGGGGAAGCAGUUUUCCCAGGCACUGAAGAAGUUCAUUGAGGAGCAGGAGAUCGUGGACCUGAAGGUGUGGACGAGCCAGCUGAAGAGGACAAUCCAGACAGCAGAGUCCCUGGGGGUGCUCUACGAGCAGUGGAAGAUCCUCAACGAGAUCGAUGCUGGGGUCUGUGAAGAAAUGACCUAUGCAGAAAUUGAAGCCAAGUAUCCAGAAGAGUUUGCCAUGAGGGAUCAGGAGAAAUACCUUUAUCGUUAUCCUGGAGGGGAGUCCUACCAGGACUUGGUGCAGCGCCUGGAGCCAGUAAUUAUGGAGCUGGAGAGGCAAGGCAACGUCCUGGUUAUCUCCCACCAGGCUGUUAUGAGGUGUCUCGUGGCUUAUUUUCUUGACAAGAGUGCAGAUGAGCUGCCCUACCUGCGCUGCCCCCUCCACACCAUCCUCAAGCUCACACCUGUUGCCUAUGGCUGCAAAGUGGAGACAAUUACCCUGGAUGUGGAAGCAGUGAACACCCACCGGGAAAAACCCUCUCACAAUUUACACGACCUCCCCAGCAGGCAGAGCCCUGUGAGGAUGAGGAGGAACAGCUUUACCCCGCGGGCCAGCGCCGACACCGUAAAGCGCCCGCGGCACCACAGCCUGGGCAGCAAACCCCUCCACCUGCUGGGGCCUCUCCCAUCCCUGGAAGCUCGAGGGCCUUUCCCAUCCCUGGAAGCUCGAGAAGGGGCUGAGCAGCCACAGCUGGAAGUCACUGUCCAGCCUCCAGAGGGAAAUGCUUGCCUCUGAGUACCACUGCAAGCAGCUUGGGUGUGCUCUCUUUGGGGUGGUCACUGUGAUGCUUCUUGGGUGGUUCUGGCAGUGUGAUUCCCCAUGGAGAAGAGAAUGGCCGCUUGAGCAGUGUAGGGGUUCCUGCUUUCCCCUUGGAUCCAGCUGGGAAUUCCAGGACUCCGGGACUGGAGCAUCCCUGGGGCGCCGUGAGCCACCCUGGCCAGUACUUGCCUUGAACUGUGAUUUUAGAGCCUGUCUGUGUCUUUUCUUUCCAAAUGCUGCAAUGUCUGUCCACGGGGCUGGAGAAGAUUUCCUGUGGAGAUUUUUCCAAGCUGCUUUGAACGCUCCUAAGCCAGCGCAUCGCCGGGUGUUGGAAUAGUGUCCCACGUCUUUCCUCCUGGCCAGGUGCCAAAAUUAACCACAGUGGGAGGACAAAAUAGUCAUGUUUUUGCUCACUGAGGCAGCUUUCCUUCAGAAAAGGCAUUUCCAGGCCAAACCCCCGAGGUUUUAUUUCUCCAUUUCCAAGUUAUUUCCAAGUUCAAACUCAAUUUUUUUUUCUGGUUUUCAGCCACCCAGGGAGCUCCAGGUAGGGCUUGACUUUCCCUCCUUGAGUGCUGGUGUGAAUCCCCCAAUCUGAGCCAGUUCCUUUUUGCUUGGAUGCUCGUUCCAGGCUUCUGCUUGGAUGUGACACCCAGGUCAGCACAUCCAUCCCACGGGCUGCCUCCUGUGAGGGACAGAUGGGAAUAAACCCUCCUGCCCCUCUCUGGAGGCAGCACAGCUCCCAGUGCUUUAAAUCCCACCUCAAGCCCUAUUUUAGCUUCUCCUCCCUACCUAAACUCCAUCCUCUCACUCAUUUUUCCUGCAUUUUGCCGGUGUUUUAUCCAUUUACCCCAGAAAAUGGGAGCAUGGCUGAGACCAGCAGGGGCAUGGUUUGUAGGAAGCACAAGAUUUUUAAAAGUUUUAUUUUACAUCAAAUUUUAGGCCCACAGGAAGCUUUUAACUUGCCUAUGAAUAAGCUGUGAAUGUUCCCAGUGCUGCCUUUCAUAGUUUUAAGCUGUUGUAGAGUUUGGUGCAGCUCUGUGUCUUAACUUAAAUCCUUCCCUUAAAUCCCCACCAAACCCCAAAUUCUCAGUUCUCUCCCACAAGUCUUGACUUGCAUUUUGCCAAACUCCAUUUUACCCCACUCCAGCUGUUCUUGCAAUAAGGGCAGCACCCUCAGGUUGGGUGAAGAAAGGAACAUUUUGGUACAGAGCAGGAGGCUGUUCUGGACCUGCUGUUCCAGGUGACUCCAGGAUUUCUCUGAGCAUUUCUGGGCCCCAGAAGUUGCUUAUUUUAAAUGUGUAAAUAAAUGUUGGAUAUACCCACAGCAGGGAAACUGUGCCCUGGCUGUGGAGGAGCUCAGCAACCCCAGAGCUUGAGGUUUAACUUGGGUAUUUUGAGCUCAAACUUGGUUGUUUUAAACACUCCCAGAGCUGUAAUUUGAUAAAACUGAGAUGGAGAGGACCAAGGCACAAAUCUGGACCCCUCAGGAUUUCUGAGGAGCAGAAAAAUCUGUUGAUCUAAAGCGAUUGUGCCACAGAGGGGUGAAAUUUGGUGGUGAGAAAUUGAGUUUUUAAUAGUUUUUCUCCUCAGGGUUUCACCACCCAGGUCUGGUUUUCAGUUUUAAAUCUUUUUGUGCUUAGAAAUAAACUAGAAAAAAAAAAAAAAAA